UACGAAGGGGGGCUAGCGUUGCUCGGAAUCACUGGGCGUAAAGGGUGCGUAGGCGGGUCUUUAAGUCAGGGGUGAAAUCCUGGAGCUCAACUCCAGAACUGCCUUUGAUACUGAGGAUCUUGAGUUCGGGAGAGGUGAGUGGAACUGCGAGUGUAGAGGUGAAAUUCGUAGAUAUUCGCAAGAACACCAGUGGCGAAGGCGGCCAACUGGUCCGGUACUGACGCUGAGGUGCGAAAGCGUGGGGAGCAAACAGGG
rnacentral:rRNA from 1 species